GACGUAGGGGGCAAGCGUUGUCCGGAUUUACUGGGCGUAAAGCGCGCGUAGGCGGCUUGUUAAGUGUAGAGUGAAAGCUCCGGGCUCAACCCGGAAAUUGCUCUGCAUACUGGCAGGCUGGGGGGACGCAGAGGUCUGUGGAAUUCCUGGUGUAGCGGUGAAAUGCGUAGAUAUCAGGAGGAACACCGGUGGUGUAGACGGCUUUCUGGACCGACACUGACGCUGAGACACGAAAGCGUGGGUAGCAAACAGG
rnacentral:rRNA from 1 species